AUUGAACGCUGGCGGCAGGCCUAACACAUGCAAGUCGAACGAGUGGCGGACGGGUGAGUAGUGUAUCGGAAACUGCCUGCUGGGGGGGCAUAACUACUGGAAAGGGUAGCUAAUACCACAUACCAUCAGUUGUUCCCAGUUGGGAUUAGCAAGUUGGUGGGGAAACGGCUAACCAAGGCGACGAUGCCGAGCUGGUCUGAGAGGAUGACCAGCCAAACUGGAACUGAGACACGGUCCAGACUCCUACGGGAGGCAGCAGUGGGGAAUAUUGCACAAUGGGCGAAAGCCUGAUGCAGCAACGCCGCGUGUAUGAAGAAGGCCUUCGGGUUGUAAAGUACUUUCAGCGGGGAGGCGUUACCCGAAGAAGAAGCACCGGCUAACUCCGUGCCAGCAGCCGCGGUAAUAC
rnacentral:rRNA from 1 species